rnacentral:misc_RNA from 1 species
UCCGAGUUGACCCCGGCAGUCUCCUGCGAGUCCCCGCCAUUACGCGCUGGCAACACAGGACAAGGGUUGCGCUCGUUGCGGGACUUAACCCAACACCUCACGGCACGAGCUGACGACAACCAUGCACCACCUGUAUACGGCCCCGAAGGACACCAUAUCUCUAUGGCUUUCCCGUAGAUGUCAAGCCCAGGUAAGGUUCUUCGCGUUGCGUCGAAUUAAACCACAUGCUCCGCUGCUUGUGCGGGCCCCCGUCAAUUCCUUUGAGUUUUAGCCUUGCGGCCGUACUCCCCAGGCGGUGUGCUUAUCGUGUUAACUAAGGCGCGCACCCAAUUAAGAGCACACACCGAGCACACAGCGUUUACAGCGUGGACUAC